rnacentral:rRNA from 1 species
CCAGACUCCUACGGGAGGCAGCAGUGGGGAAUCUUGCGCAAUGGGCGGAAGCCUGACGCAGCGACGCCGCGUGCGGGACGAAGGCCUUCGGGUCGUAAACCGCUUUCAGCAGGGACGAGGCCCUCACGGUGACGGUACCUGCAGAAGAAGCCCCGGCUAACUACGUGCCAGCAGCCGCGGUAAUACGUAGGGGGCGAGCGUUAUCCGGAUUCAUUGGGCGUAAAGCGCGCGUAGGCGGCCUGUUAGGUCGGGGGUCAAAUACCGGGGCUCAACCCCGGUCCGCCCCCGAUACCGGCAGGCUUGAGUCUGGUAGGGGAAGGCGGAAUUCCCAGUGUAGCGGUGGAAUGCGCAGAUAUUGGGAAGAACACCGGCGGCGAAGGCGGCCUUCUGGGCCACGACUGACGCUGAGGCGCGAAAGCUAGGGGAGCGAACAGGAUUAGAUACCCUCGUA